GGGAUUUGGGCUCUUAACAGAGCUUUGCAAGGGUUUUCUUUCUUUCACGGAAAACAAUUGAUCAAAAGAAUGAGGGCGGCGCCCCCUCUACAACUCCUAUAUACGGCACCCAAAGAGAGCCAUGACUCACCCUAAUCCCUAAUCAAACUCUAAUCAAAUGAACUUCUAAUUAAGUCCAAAGUUAAAACUGAAACAAACAUAAUUUAGGACCCAAUUUAAACUAAACAAGGACUCUAAACAAGACUCAACCAAACCUAAAACAAAGUCUCCUACAUGGCUUCAAAUUGACUUCAUUCUGGUUCUGCAN
rnacentral:lncRNA from 1 species